UACGGGGGGGGCAAGCGUUGUUCGGAAUUACUGGGCGUAAAGGGUUCGUAGGUGGUGCGGCAAGUUGGGAGUGAAAUCUCUGGGCUUAACUCAGAGGCUGCUUUCAAAACUGCCGCGCUCGAGUGCGAGAGAGGUCAGUGGAAUUGCAGGUGUAGCGGUGAAAUGCGUAGAUAUCUGCAGGAACACCCGUGGCGAAGACGGCUGACUGGAUCGCAACUGACACUGAGGAACGAAAGCUAGGGGAGCAAACAGG
rnacentral:rRNA from 1 species